CUUGAUACUGUGAACCAAAUUUAAAAGGCGUAAAUACUCUUUUUCUUUGCCAUCUCCGACAAACUCUUAUUUCAAAACCACUGUUUCCCAACCAGUUCACCAGAUAAGUUUUGAUUUUGUAAAGGCGAAUUUGAACUCAACCCACCCUCUGUUUUCGGUUGAAGAUCGGUCUCGCAAAGCUUUACUAGCUUCUUGUACCUAAUGAUUUGGAUUUUCAUUGACACAUAUGAAUUGAUGUAUUUUCGGGUGGAACAAAGAGCUAUCAGUUUGCAUCGAAAUGCAUGUCAGAAUUUACAUUUUGUCGUUUUAUUACGAUGGGAAGCUAGGCGACUCUACUUUAGGAACGUCGGGCCUAAGUGGAACCCCACCUACUCGGUGGCUACCGGGAAGAUCGUUGUGCCAACGAUGACUGUGUACGAAGAGAAGUUGCAGCAGUAAGCCGGGCAGAGCUUACGGAAGCAUUAGCGCUAUGAAAGUUAGUAUUUUGUUACAUUUUGAUGUGUAUAUCACGGGGUACCUGGGUGUUUAGUUUGUUUUCCUUGAUCCCAUGUCUUUUUUUGUACAUUUUGCUGUUAUCAUUGGGGUCUUGUAAAUGAUCUUUAUAUGGUCUGUAACUGAAAACUUGUGGGUUUGGUAUAUAAUAGGUCCGUCUUGGGUGUUGCAACAGUGCUUUUGAAUCCCCUUUGUUGUCAUAUAUCUAUGUACUUCAUGCAUACUCAUUUAUGCGUUACUGAGUGCUUGUUUAAUUUUUUUUAAAAACUCUUGAACUUGAUUAAUUUUGCUACCUUGGGUCAUGGUAUAAAAUGUAUAUGU